rnacentral:lncRNA from 1 species
UUCAAUUGUGUCUGUCUCUUUUUUAAAAGACUUGUCCAUCACAUUCUCUCUCUUAACACAUUUUUCAAACCCUCACAUCUCUCUCUCUCUUCAUCUCUUCAUCAGAGAUGAAGAAGAUCAUCAUCUUCAACUUUCGAACAUAUAAGUUUGUUAUAUAAACACAUAAGGCGACUAAGCCGGCCCGUUCUUGCUCCGACGAGAGAGAUCGAGGAGAAAGAAAGUUGCUGAAAGAGAGAGAGGGAAAGACGCCGCCGCCGGCGACGGUUCCGGUGUUGUUCUGACCUCCGGCCGGGGUCACCCACACCCCUGUUUUUAAAGUUGCAGACCACCAUCAGGGGCAAACCCCAUCGUUUCUGACCUUCGGUCGGUGGGUAGGGGUGUUGUGAACCAGUGAUGAUGCCAAAACAGGGGUUGACCCCGUCGUUUCUCCGGCGACACCACUGCCGUCCCCCCUGGGAUGAUUGAUCUGUAAGAUGGGUUUGUGACAAUAACCAUUUCUUCUUGUGUUUCUUCACCAUUUUUUUGGGUUUCUAAUUUUAUCAAAAAUGAGUGAUGGAAAUGGUGCUAAAGUCACCGUCUGUUGAUUUGUUAAAGUGGUUAAAUCUGUGGGUUUUGAUAUGGUCGAUUGUGUGGCGAUGAUGAAAAAAAACGUUGAUUUAGAUGACGAUGGCGCGACAAGUACGGCGGAGGGUAGGUUUUUUGAACCUGCAACCCCACUUUUGCAGCCUUUUGAUUAUUGGAUAAUCUGAGCAAAACCCUGUUUUUUUCGAGAUACACUUUGUUUUGAUGUUAUUGGUUUUUUAUUUUUUCCCCCUAGUCGAUGAUGAUAACGAUAUAUCUGAGACACCUCCCGAGUUUGCGAUUUCUGGUUGCGUUCGUUUUUGUGUAAAAAAGUUUUUGUAAAAAAAAAAAGUUAAACCGUAAAUUUUUUAACGUAAAAUGUAAACUUUUUAACGUAAAACGUAAACUUUUUAAUGUAAAACAUAAAAUGUUUUACGUAAAACGUAAAACGUAAAAAAUUUUACGUAAAAACGUAAAACGUAAAAAGUUUUACGUAAAAAGUUUUACGUAAAAAGUUUAACAUAAAACAUAAAACGUAAAACAUAAAACGUAAAACAUAAAAUGUAAAAACGUAAAAAGUGUAAAAAUCGGCGUGUUAAAAAGCGUGUAAAAAACGACGCCUUAAAAAACGGCGCGUUAAAAAAAUUACGCUUGAAAAAACCUGGCGUAAAAACGGUGCGUCAAAAAAACGUAAAACAUAAAAAGUUUAACGUAAAACUUAAAUUGUAAAAAGUAUAAAAAAUCUUUUAAAAAAUCUGAAUUUAAAAAUGCUUUUAAUAAAAAAAAUUAUGUUUAAAAAAUAAAAAGUAAUAUAAU